rnacentral:rRNA from 1 species
GGAAUCUUGGACAAUGGGGGCAACCCUGAUCCAGCGACGCCGCGUGGGUGAUGAAGGCCUUCGGGUUGUAAAGCCCUUUCACCGGGGACGAUGAUGACGGUACCCGGAGAAGACGCACCGGCUAACUCCGUGCCAGCAGCCGCGGUAAGACGGAGGGUGCUAGCGUUGUUCGGAAUCACUGGGCGUAAAGGGCGCGUAGGCGUCCUGGGAAGUCGGCUUGUGAAAGCCCGGGGCUCAACCCCGGAGGUGCAGCCGAGACUGCGGUGCUCGAGGCCGGAAGAGGAGGGUGGAAUACCCAGUGUAGAGGUGAAAUUCGUAGAUAUUGGGUGGAACACCGGUGGCGAAAGCGGCUCUCUGGUCCGGUCCUGACGCUGAGGCGCGAAAGCGUGGGGAGCAA